AACCCAUUGUGACCUCUGCCAGUGUGUGUGAUUCCCAGAGCAGGCUACCCAGACUGAGCCAAGGUGGAAUGGAACCAAAGAAGUUGACCUAUGUUAAAUCAAAGACAAGAUCUGCUCCGAGCCAACAGAAAGAACAGACGAGACUCCAGCUUGCCAACUAAUUCACAAUGAGCUGAAUGAGUCCACAUGAAGCAAAGAGGACACAAUCAGCAAGAAUUAGUAUUCUGAAACACAAGGAGGAUCCCCAGAUCCCAAGGUUAAGACACACAUCUCCGUAAGGAUGAAACACAAUUUAGCAACGAAUGGGUUGUAAACUUGAAAAUGUAAGGUUCUGUGUGGUUCAAGAUAGUUUUGAGACGCCAAGUGUUUUAAGUUCAUGUAAAUCUAACUUCAUGUAAAGCCCAGCUUGCAGAGCUUGUGCAUUUAAAUGAAUAACCUAUUUAUGACAAAAAUGUCAAGUGGAGCCUUACAAACCCAAGGUUACAAACCACAGUUAUGAUUGCCAUUUUAUAAAACUCUGAUGUACUGUACAGCACUAGCCACGGAUUGCUAUUCAACGGUUCUAUUGCUGUAAAUUUAAAUCUUUAACAAUGUGCACUGACUUGUUGUUGACUUUUGUCUAUUUUCUUGUCACAAUGCCAGUAAUGAAACGCAUGCACCCAUCCUCCGACUUACUCUAACAGGAAAAAUAAAGAUGCAAAAAAUUAUUCAUCAUAUCUAGGGUUUGGUUAAAAAACAUUUAUCCAAUCAAAUAUAUAUAUAUAAAUAUAUACUUGAUGUGCAUUGUUCAGAAUUUCAUUUCUGAAACAAAACACUUUAAUAUCCAUAACCCAGUCGCCUGUUAUAAUAUAUUCCACAGUUAUGACAUCAAGACAAACCAGAGGGUAUCUUGCAUGUAACCUUAGUUAUUCAUCAGUUAGGCACAUACGUAUUUCUGUGCUAGCUCAGGGAAAAUACCAUUUGUAGUCUGAUAAACUUGAUAGAUGCUGUGGAUAUAAGGCAUAUGGUUUAAUAUCAACGUUGACCUUACUAUGUACAACCAUUUGUAUGUAAUCACUGUAAAAGAUACGUUUCAUUUUCUUUAAUGGCAACAGUGUUAGCUCAGUUGUGUUCUCCCCUCUUGCUUUUUUUCUGUAAUGAUGUUAAGAUAUUACACCACAAUUGCUGUUUCUCUUAAUAGUAUAAAAGCGGUGUUCUGUACGGUGAUGUUUUGGUGUUAUGAAUGCAUCCUAUCUUGUUUGACAGUUGUAGCGGCUAUGUUUUCUUUUUCCUCUCCUAUCUUUGUCAGUUCCCUGCCCUUCGCAUGUAGAUAUUUGCCAAAAUUUGUUGCCAAACACUGCUCUUUGCUACUAGUCACAGUAUACAGUAAAUUAAUGCCACAAAGUCUACAUAUCAGAUGUGUAAUAAUAGCCAUAUUCUCUUUAUAGCACAAAGAACAGUUUACAGUUUAACAUUGACUGAUGUACUAUGAAGCACUGAAAUAUUGCACAGUAUCUAUUGUUCGUCAUAUCUGUCUUUUUGGUCUUAUCUAUCUCGGCUGUGAUCCUCCAUCAUCUACUUCAUCAUGGUCAAAAUUACAAUAUGCACACUAGUGUUUAUGGAAAUGGCGUUACACGUUUAACAGCUCAUUAACAAAGUUUAUACAAUUCAGACAAGGUGGUGAUGGAUCAGGGAUCACGUCUUCUUCACUGAUCAUUGAUACGGGUAGAUGGAGAACGGUCUUUGUGUUGUUACGGUUCAUAUAAAGAGGAGUGUCACUUUCACAAGAGUAUCGUAUUUUUCUAGCAUUUACUCCAAUGUAUUGUUCGUUAUUUGUACUCAGCACAUAUGUAAGUGUAAUCUACCAUUCUUGCACAAAAUGUUAUUCACAAUUAGUUCUACUUGUAGAGUCUUUUCCCUGAGCCUGAUACCAGUACUGUUCCUCUGUGACGAUCUCCUUAUCAGUAUAAAUUAAAAUGUAUAUUCCUGAAAUGCUUUGUUUUUUGUGAAU